ACGGAACUUACGAAAUAUGAAGAGAAAGGUGUACUUUCAGAGAACUGAUAGAUCCGCAGGUUCCAGGUCUCAAAAAUGUGGCUCGUGUGUUGGCUUUAAAACUAGAACCUUUCUUACUGCCUCCAACGACGAAAAAUUUUGCAAUCACUCAAAUACAGAAAUAUAUCAAUGAAAAUAAGGACAGAACUAAGAAGAGUGCAGCCCAUUAUUGUGGCUACGGCAUAGCUGCAUAAUAUAUUAUGUAAACAAAAUAGAGACCCUGUGCUGUACCACCAGCUAGGUUUUUUAUGAUGAUUCAUCAUCUGAUGAAGAGGAACCUGUCUAUGCAGUUAACAGGAACGAUGAGCAUAAUCGAAGGAUGUCAAUAAAUAAUAAUUUUAAUAGAUUACAUCGUUAGUUUUUAUUUCAACUUGUUAAGAAUUAAUUAUUAAGAUAAUUAAUAAUAAAGGCUUCUAUUCUA